UGAGAGAACACCUCUCAAUGGUUUGGUGGCGAUAGCGAAGAGGUCACACCCGUUCCCAUGCCGAACACGGAAGUUAAGCUCUUCAGCGCCGAUGGUAGUCGGGGGUUUCCCCCUGUGAGAGUAGGACGCCGCCAAGCAAUCAUACGUCAAAGACAGAUGCUGAGCUUUUUUC
rnacentral:rRNA from 1 species